rnacentral:ncRNA from 1 species
AAGUAGCUGCUGAUGAGGAAAAGUAUGUUUUAUGAGAAUGUCUUAGCGAGUCAGAGGCGGUGAAAGUCUGAUACAAGUCUCUUUAACAGAAUGGUCCUCAGAGGUGUGAUCCGAAAGCUCUAAGGUUAGUAGGUGAUUCCGGGUGUUUCCCGUUACAGAAACGAGGGUAUCGAGAAAGAACAUUCUCCGUACCUGAUCGAUGAGAGGUAUUAGGUAGUUUAUUUCAUUCGAAAGAGUCCAAGCGAAUUCCGCUGGCUUGGACUGGAUUAGAAGAAAGAGCUCAUUAAUACAAUUAAGGUGGUACCACGGAGUUUUCCGUCCUUUGA